AUUCGUCUUCAGGGGCAGGGUGAAAUUCCCGACCGGUGGUAUAGUCCACGAGCUAAAUAGCAUUAUUUGGUUGAACUGGUUAAAUUCCAGUACCGACAGUAAAGUCUGGAUAAAGAAGAUGGGG
rfam:Carnobacterium inhibens subsp. gilichinskyi strain WN1359, complete genome.